rnacentral:rRNA from 1 species
AGCAGUCGCCGCGGGAAUACGUAGGGUGCAAGCGUUAAUCGGAAUUACUGGGCGUAAAGCGUGCGCAGGCGGUUAUAUAAGUCAGAUGUGAAAUCCCCGGGCUCAACCUGGGAACUGCAUUUGAGACUGUAUGGCUAGAGUGUGUCAGAGGGGGGUAGAAUUCCACGUGUAGCAGUGAAAUGCGUAGAUAUGUGGAGGAAUACCGAUGGCGAAGGCAGCCCCCUGGGAUAACACUGACGCUCAUGCACGAAAGCGUGGGGAGCAAACAGGAUUAGAUACCCCUGUAGUCCCUGUCUCUUAUAC